GGCACUGGAAGCAGCCAGAGCCCCCAUUCCAGAACCUCUCUGAUGUCACACUUGUAGUCAUGGUACUCUGGGUGCCAAACCAGGAGAAGGAGCGGUUGGCUCUCAUUAGUUUGAGAGCAGGCAUCGGAUCAUGACUAUCAAAGGAUUUACUGUCCCCACCCCCACCCCCAGCCAGAUCCUGGGUUUUCUCGAGCCUUUGGGCUUGUUUCACUGUGGCAUCCCUGGUCUCUCUAAGCCUAGUGUUCUUCACAUUUCUAUGCCGAGCACUGGCCCAAGAUGGAGAGUGGGGCUUUCCCAUGGCCACGGGGCUUCUCUGCCUCCCCACUAUGUACAGGCUCAUUUCUAUGAAUACUUCAGACCCAGGCAUUUACACAGAGGCGCCUUCAAGCAGGACCCUGAGGCUCCCUACAUGGCACAAGUGAAUGGCAGGUUAUACAAAAUGCCGUGGUGUCCCACCUGUUAUUUUCACAGCCUGCCCUGAACCUUCCUAUGCAAAACCUGUGACAUCUGUGUAGAGGUGAGUGCUCCUCCUCCCUGUCCACUCACCAACCUAUCUAUGGGCACCUGGCUAGGACCAGAAACCUCACAUCAUGAGUGGGUCAGUUGAGUGUAUCAAACCAUGUUCUCAGAGUGCUUCAAGUGCCUCUCAGCCACUGUUGGUCACUUAUAUAUGUCAUCACCUCUGUGUCUGCACCUGUCCAGGGAGGCUGGCCUUGUUUGCACAGGUGUUGAUAUGCAAAGGGCAUCACAACUGUGCUGAGCCUUGUGGAGUCAGGGGAAGGAAAAUCAGUGACUGUCCCCUCCCCUGGUUUGUUGAUAGUAGAUCCCCAGCCCUUUAGGCUGACUGCUGCCAUGUCCUGGGGAUCUUUGUCGGUCUUGGUCUGGGUGCCCAGUUGGAGGGUUUCCUGGAUUCUGAGUGCCUUUCUCUGAUGUGCACACCCUGCUCAGGUUCACAAGUAUAGAUGGCUGGUUGGGCAAGGGUGUUUUUUCAUCCUUAUCCAGUUUCUGAGAAAACAUAGGCCCAGAGAUGUCCUAUCCUGCUCCAAGUGAAACCAGGCAGGUCUUGUCUCUAAAGAUCUCACUCAGGACAGGUGAACUAAUGAGCUAUGGGGCUAACUGUGCUCUAACCAUGGAAAUGCCAGGUUCUCCCUGAGAUUGGAACCUGUGUGUAGGGCCAAGAGAAGGUGCCUAGAGGGCUGAAUUGGGGGAUGCCCCAGGAUUAGGAGGUGAUGGAGGCCGAUCCAGACAGAUCCUCAGUCCUGCCUCCUCUACCCUAGGAGUUCGACCACCAUUGCAGGUGGGUGAAUAACUGCAUGGGGCACUGAAACAUCCGGCUCCACCUGCUACUCCUCCUGUGCCUAUGCCUCUACCUGGGUGCCGUGCUGACCACCUGUGUGGUUUUCAUCAUGCAGAGGAGGCACAUGGCAUUCCUGGACUAUACCAUGAUGUAUCCACACAGUCCCAAGGAAGGGCCCACCCUGAGAAGAGCUGCUUGUGGUGGGGAGGGAGGGGCAAACAGCCAAGGAGGGACAUAGGAGACCAAGGGUAGGGCUAGAGAGAUAAGUCACUUGGGAGUACUUGUGAAGGAGAUGUGGAAGGCCAGUGGGGUCAGUGACAUGGGCUGUGUAGGAUACCUGUGGAGUUAAGAAUCUAGGGGGGCCAGAAAUAGGAUAAUAAAAGUUGAAAAGGGACAUAUGGGUGGACAGUGUGGUGGACUGAGUUUUCACUUGGGUGUACUGGACUAACUGUCCAGUCCAGGGAAGGAGAGUGUGUGGGUGGUGCUAGCUGGGGUGGGAAGGAGUGAGGGAGGAGUUGGGUAGAAAAGCGGAGGCAGGGAAGAGCUCUUCCAUGGCUUCACUUCUUAGCCUAUGCACAGCAUCCUAGUGGCUGUACCUGCUGGGGCCCUCCUGCUCCCCCUCAUCCUGCAGUUGUUCAUCAAGGGAGUGGCCGUGGGCACCACCAGGUGACCCUACGAAGACCAGUUAAGUGGUCUGAGUGUGUGUGUCCUUGACUGUGUGGAGGUGUCUUAUACAUCUGCAAUUAGGCACUUUGUGUGCUUUCUCCACUGCCCUUGGCCCUGAUGUUUCUUUAUGAGUCCUUCCAGACCCACCUCUGAAGAUGUAACUCAGAUAUCUCUAUACCCUGGAGCUUGGUGGCCAUUCUCCCUCUUGGGUGCAUUGUAUUGAAAGCCUACUGUGUGCUAGGUGGCAAUUAUUUGAGGGAUGGGUGUAGAGAUGAGUAAGUAUGUCAUGCACUUGUGUUGAUCAGCAAAAUGCAGUCAGAAUAACAUCUGGAGACACCCAGGAACACUGAGAAGAGGGGUCAGUCCUGAGUGGUGUAACAGACUGGAAAAGACUGGGAGUCUGAUGAAUCCCACACUGUAGAGUAGAACAUGCCACUCUCUGUGUCCUGUGUGCUUUUGGAGAGGAGACAGGAAGGCAUUGACUGUGAGAGGUACAAUUGUUCAGAAAGUCCCAGAAAACUGAAAGUAGGGUGUUAACAGAAUGAUGAAGAAAUGGAUCUAGUUCAAGCACAAGGUGGCAUGAUGUUGACCCCAAGGGGGUCAAGAUUAAAAAGACCCAGAACGUCAAUUGUGGAAUGUAGUUUUCAAGUAGUGGAAACCUGGGAGCCAUGGUAAAAUUUUGUAAAAAUGUCAAUUAUUGAGGGUAAUUACAAACAGUAAAAUUUAUCUUUUUUAGUCUCCAGUUAGGGAUUUUGACAAAUGACAUCGUGUACUCUCCACCAAGAUCAAGGUUAACCAGUUUCAUUACCCCAGAAAAUUCUUUCAUCUCUUGUUGCCAAGUUUUCUCCCUGAGUCCUUGUGGUGUUUUUUUUUUUUUUCCAGAAUCAUGCAUAAAUGGUGUUGUGGGCUUUCUAGUCUGGCUUCAUUCCCUGAGCACAACACAUUUGAGAUUCAUCUAUGUAGUUGCUCAUAUCAGUAGUUUAUUUUCUUUUGUUUCUGUGUAGUAUUAUAUUUCCCUGCAGAUUAUUUAUAUAUUCACUAAUUGAAGGAUUUUUACUUUGCAUCUAGUUUUUGACAGUGUUGUUUUUUUUUUUGGUCUAUUUUGUUUUGUUUUUGUACCAACAAUUGAACCCAGAUAUGCUUAACCACU